UAGCUGUUUACAAAUAAGAACAAUUAAUAUAAGUUAAGGAAGAAGACAAGAUUGAAGAGAAGAAGGAGAAGAGGAGACGUACUAGUGAGUUUAAGCAAGUGACGUUUUUGAAAACACGAACGGCAUGAGUAACGUCCGAAGACUGGGUCAAGGGCUGUGAUUGGUGAAAAACGUCAACUUUACUUCCGGUCGACGUCCGUGUUGUCAAAAACGUCACUUGCUUAAGCUCACUACUGUUCUACCUGGUUGCCGUGUGGGAG